rfam:Acetobacter indonesiensis 5H-1 DNA, contig: Abin_044.
AGGCUCAUAACCUGAAGGUCAUAGGUUCAAAUCCUAUCCCCGCAA